rnacentral:rRNA from 1 species
UACGUAGGGUGCGAGCGUUGUCCGGAAUUAUUGGGCGUAAAGAGCUUGUAGGCGGUUUGUCGCGUCUGCUGUGAAAUCUCAAGGCUCAACCUUGAGCUUGCAGUGGGUACGGGCAGACUAGAGUGUGGUAGGGGAGACUGGAAUUCCUGGUGUAGCGGUGAAAUGCGCAGAUAUCAGGAGGAACACCGGUGGCGAAGGCGGGUCUCUGAGCCGAUACUGACGCUGAGGAGCGAAAGCGUGGGGAGCGAACAGG